UCUACCUCUGUUGUACACAGGUUGAGCAGCUUCAAAGGAUCUUCAAACUUUGUGGUUCACCCUCAGAGGAUUACUGGAACAAAAUGAAGCUACCAGCAAGCUUCCAUCCACCGCGGCAUUAUAGGCCUAGUUUUGAAGAAGCCUUCAGCCCCUUACCUACCUCUUCAUUUGGCCUUUUGACUACACUUCUUGCUCUAGACCAACCUCUCGUGGCAGUGCUGCUUCUGCUCUCCAUAGUGAAUUCUUUACUUCAAGCCCAUUGGCCUGCAAUCUUCCAGCUCUACCAAUUCCCAGGAAAAAGAAGAAUCAAUCUAAAACCCGUGAUCAGAUGUAUGAUUUUAGUUUAUAAUGUGAAAUUAUUUUCCUCAAUGAUGUGAUGAAUAACUCUAUGUAACGAUCAUGAUGUCUCCUACCAAAACCUUUAGCAGCUUA